UUUGCGUCGAAGGUAUACCGGUAAGGAGUGCUGGAGCGAAUAGAAGUGAGCAUGCAGGCAUGAGUAGCGAUAAUUAAUGUGAGAAUCAUUAACGCCGUAAACCCAAGGUUUCCUACGCGAUGCUCGUCAUCGUAGGGUUAGUCGGGUCCUAAGUCGAGUCCGAAAGGGGUAGACGAUGGCAAAUUGGUUAAUAUUCCAAUACCAACAUUAGUGUGCGAUGGAAGGACGCUUAGGGCUAAGGGGGCUAGCGGAUGGAAGUGCUAGUCUAAGGUCGUAGGAGGUUAUACAGGCAAAUCCGUAUAACAAUACUCCGAGAACUGAAAGGCUUUUUGAAGUCUUCGGAUGGAUAGAAGAACCCCUGAUGCCAUCGAGCCAAGAAAAGUUUCUAAGUUUAGCUAAUGUUGCCCGUACCGUAAACCGACACAGGUGGGUGGGAUGAGUAUUCUAAGGCGCGUGGAAGAACUCUCUUUAAGGAACUCUGCAAAAUAGCACCGUAUCUUCGGUAUAAGGUGUGGUUCGCUUCGUAUUAGGAUUUACUCCGAAAGCGAAGAAACUUACAACAAAGAGUCCCUCCCGACUGUUUACCAAAAACACAGCACUCUGCUAACUCGUAAGAGGAUGUAUAGGGUGUGACGCCUGCCCGGUGCUCGAAGGUUAAUUGAUGGGGUUAGCAUUAGCGAAGCUCUUGAUCGAAGCCCGAGUAAACGGCGGCCGUAACUAUAACGGUCCUAAGGUAGCGAAAUUCCUUGUCGGUUAAAUACCGACCUGCAUGAAUGGCGUAACGAGAUGGGAGCUGUCUCAAAGAGGGAUCCAGUGAAAUUGUAGUGGAGGUGAAAAUUCCUCCUACCCGCGGCAAGACGGAAAGACCCCGUGGACCUUUACUACAGCUUGACACUGCUAUUUGGAUAAGAAUGUGCAGGAUAGGUGGGAGGCUUUGAGUAUAUGACGCCAGUUGUAUAUGAGCCAUUGUUGAGAUACCACUCUUUCUUAUUUGGGUAGCUAACCAGCUUGAGUUAUCCUCAAGUGGGACAAUGUCUGGUGGGUAGUUUGACUGGGGCGGUCGCCUCCCAAAUAAUAACGGAGGCUUACAAAGGUUGGCUCAGAACGGUUGGAAAUCGUUCGUAGAGUAUAAAGGUAUAAGCCAGCUUAACUGCAAGACAUACAAGUCAAGCAGAGACGAAAGUCGGUCUUAGUGAUCCGGUGGUUCUGCGUGGAAGGGCCAUCGCUCAAAGGAUAAAAGGUACCCCGGGGAUAACAGGCUGAUCUCCCCCAAGAGCUCACAUCGACGGGGAGGUUUGGCACCUCGAUGUCGGCUCAUCGCAUCCUGGGGCUGGAGCAGGUCCCAAGGGUAUGGCUGUUCGCCAUUUAAAGCGGUACGCGAGCUGGGUUCAGAACGUCGUGAGACAGUUCGGUCCCUAUCUGCCGUGGGCGUAAGAAGAUUGAAGAGAUUUGACCCUAGUACGAGAGGACCGGGUUGAACAAACCACUGGUGUAGCUGUUGUUCUGCCAAGAGCAUCGCAGCGUAGCUAAGUUUGGAAAGGAUAAACGCUGAAAGCAUCUAAGCGUGAAGCCAACUCUAAGAUGAAUCUUCUCUAAGCUCUCUAGAAGACUACUAGUUUGAUAGGCUGGGUGUGUAAUGGAUGAAAGUCCUUUAGCUGACCAGUACUAAUAGAGCGUUUGGCUUAUCUUUAAUAAAGCAU
rnacentral:rRNA from 1 species